UUUAAUGGACNCCCUGAACGUGCGUUGCACUCUUGCGAUUUCCUGAGAGUAUGUCUGCUU
rnacentral:rRNA from 1 species